AGCAGCCGCGGUAAUUCCAGCUCCAAUAGCGUAUAUUAAGUUGUUGCAGUUAAAAGCUCGUAGUUGAAUUUCGGGAUCAAUAUGGUCGGUCGUGCCUUCGGUACGUACUGGUAUCAUUGGUUUCUCCUUUCUGACGAACCAUGAUGUCAUUAAUUUGGUGUUAUGGGGAGUUAGGACUGUUACUUUGAAAAAAUUAGAGUGUUUAAAGCAGGCUUUAGCUUGAAUACAUUAGCAUGGAAUAAUGAAAUAGGACGUUCGAACCUAUUUUGUUGGUUUCUAGGAUCAACGUAAUGAUUAAUAGGGAUAGUUGGGGGCAUUAGUAUUCAAUUGUCAGAGGUGAAAUUCUUGGAUUUAUUGAAGACUAACUACUGCGAAAGCAUUUGCCAAGGAUGUUUUCAUUAAUCAAGAACGAAAGUUAGGGGAUCGAAGACGAUCAGAUACCGUCGUAGUCUUAACCAUAAACUAUGCCGACUAGGGAUCGGAUGAUGUUAAUUUUUAAUGACUCAUUCGGCGCCCUACG
rnacentral:rRNA from 1 species